CGGAAGUAAAAGUCGUAACAAGGUUUCCGUAGGUGAACCUGCGGAAGGAUCAUUAAAAAAUUGGACUCCAUUGGUGAGUUCAUUAAUAAUCCCUACCCUUUGUGAAUUUGUUUGUUUGAAUAAUUUUUUUUCCAAAAAAAAUUAUUGAAUGUCUUUCCUUGUUUUGGUGGAGCUUGUAAAGUGAAACCAGGCAGGGGAAUGGCAAACAAUAAUUAUUUUUGAAAAAGACCUUUUUUUAAAAUUAAACUUUUUGUAUUCAUUUGUCUAAAAUUAAUUUUUAUAAUAUAAAAACAACUUUUGACAAUGGAUCCCUUGGUUCUCGCAACGAUGAAGAACGCAGCAAAAUGCGAUAAGUAGUGUGAAUUGCAGAAUACGUGAAUCAUCGAAUCUUCGAACGCAUAUUGCACUUUUUUAGUUUACUAAAAAAGUAUGUCUGUUUGAGUAUCAGUAAAAUAUUCUCAUAAAAAACAUUGUUUUUUUUAUGGUUAUGAGUGUUUUACAACGAUAACAAGUUGUUUCACUUUAAAUUCUUUGUUAUCAAAAAAAUCAUUAAAAGCUAAUUUUAAAGAUUUUUUAAAAUUGGAUAAAAUUUUCCCGUAAAAAGGAAUAACCUAAACAAUUUUAAAAAUUAAAAUUGGUUUGAUUUUUUUGAAACCCAAAGGAAAAAAAAACGAAAUUAACUUGAUCUCAAAUCAGAUAAGAGUACCCGCUGAACUUAAGCAUAUCAAUAAGCGGAGGAAAAGAAACUACUAGGAUUCCCUCAGUAACGGCGAGUGAAGCGGGAAGAGCUCAAAUUUGAAAUCUUCAAGGUUUUACCUUGACGAAUUGUAGUUUAAAGAAGUGUUUUCUGUUGGAGUUUUGGUAAAAGUUCUUUGGAAAAGGACAUCAUAGAGGGUGAGAAUCCCGUAUUUGACCAUUAUCUCCAGCUUUGUGAUACACUUUCAAAGAGUCGGAUUGUUUGGGAAUGCAGUCCAAAAUGGGUGGUAAAUUUCAUCUAAAGCUAAAUACUGGCGAGAGACCGAUAGCGAACAAGUACCGUGAGGGAAAGAUGAAAAGAACUUUGAAAAGAGAGUUAAACAGUACGUGAAAUUGUCAAAAGGGAAGCGUUUGACACCAGUGUUGUUUUCUCGAAAAUCAAUUAAAAAAGGCCGGAUUUUGUGUUGUAUUGACUUUAUCAGCUUUCUGCACUCUUUUCUUGUCUUUUUUAAUGCACUUUUCGUUUAACAAGUCAACAUCAAUUUCUUUUGUUGUAAAAGGGUCAUUGGAAGGUGGCUUUCUUUUCGGAGAAAGUGUUUAUAGCCUUUGGCCUCUGCAAUCGGAGAGAUUGAGGUCUGCAGCGUAGAUCCUUCGGGGUUAGAUACAUUUUGUGCUAAGUUAUAGCCUUUCAUAGACAACUUGUUGACUAUGAUCAGUCAUGUAGCUUACUCGCUUAUGCUAUUUUACCUACGCUUAGGAUGU
rnacentral:misc_RNA from 1 species